CCCCCCCACUCCAUCCGUGCCACAUUAUUUUAGCUGGGUUUUAGUUGUUUGUGUUCUUUGUUUAGUUUAUUUGAAGGUAGAGCUUUUAGUUGUUUUUACUUAUUUUAAAAUAAAUUGUGUUCAACUGUGUUCCACUGGCUGUACUCAUUGUUUUAAAAAUAACACUGUUUACUGCUCUCCCCCGACAUAAAAGAACCUGUUUACCCUAACUUUAAUUUGGUGAUCCUAAGAGGUCCUAGGCCUCAGUUAAACCUAGGUGGCGUUGUCGGCACUUGUGUUUUAAUUUAUCCACCCUUAGCACGGCUCACAUUUUGGCGUUGUCGGCAGGAUCGGGUACAGAGAGCAGUGUGGUGUAUUUUAAAACAGUGAAUAUGAUGAUGCCUGUAUAUCCUGGUGCCCCUUGGCUGCCAAAGUUUAAAGGACCAAAUUGUGACCUGAAAUAUCAUGACUGGAAGGAGCAAAUACAGGGCUUACUUGGAGCGCAAGAGCUAGCAGAGGCCAGAAAAAUUGACAUUGUGUUGGGUGCGUUAGCUGGGGAAGCCAAACGGCAGGUCAGUGUUUUAGAGGAUGACGAAAGGGAUAGAGCACGCAAAAUCUUUCUGUAUUUGGACUCUCUAUAUGGAGACAGAACCCCCGCCCCAGUGUUAAGGUCUCAGUUUUUUAGUUGUGUCCAAAGACCAGACGAGACUGUGCCCUCAUUCAUUCUAAGACUAAGAGAGCUGUAUUGCAGGUUGCGGCAACAUGACCCUGAUGGAACUCCCCCUGACACAGUCCUGCGAGACCAGCUGCUGUUGGGGCUGCGUGAAAGUUCCCUGGCUCAGGCCCUGAAGGUCUAUGCCCGCCGUAACCCUGAUGAAACUUUUUCUGCAAUCAGACAGGAGGCGCUGCUGCUUGAUACAGAACAUGGGAACCCCCAACCGGAGGUAAUCUGUGCUUCUGUGUAUAAACCAAAUGUGCCUCCUCCAUCACAGGACACCAGCUGGAGAGAGACCCUGAAAAGAGAGAUCAUGGAAGACGUGAAAUCUCAGAUGACCGGACUGACCCAGGAACUGUUGCGAGAGAUUAAACCGCUCCUUCAACCAGCUGUUAUUGCACCACAGCCCCUAAUACAGCCCUAUAGGGAGCGACAACGAUCAGUUUCCCAGACGAACACCUGGGAUGAGCAAGGUAGGCCCAUUUGCCGCCAAUGCAGACAAGCCGGCCACAUAGCUAGAUUUUGUAGGAGGCCAACUACUGCUCGGCAGGCUUUAAACUAGCUUUCCCUGCUGCUGAGGUCCGAGGGGCAGGGGUUGAAAGUACAACAGAAGAAAACGGGCCCACUGAAGCAUUUAUUGGAAGGUGUCCAACUAUAGACGUAAACAUUGAAGGAGUUACACUGUCGGGGCUAUUAGACACGGGGUCCCAGGUCACCUUAAUGCAGCAAAGCCUCUUUGAGCAACAUUUUACCCAAGCUAAGCUUGGAAAGGCUCCUAUAGUUUUUAAGUUACAGGCCGCAAAUGGCCUGGAGAUCCCUUAUACGAGCUAUGCCGUAUUAGAUCUGGAGCUAGAGGGUGCUAAGAUACCUGGAAGAGGAAUUGUGAUUGUGAAGGAUGAACACUGUACACACCCACUCAUCAUUGGAAUGAAUGUUGUUACUGCUUGUUGGACUGUUUUUUUUAAAUGUCCCAGAGGGUCUGUUCCCCCCCCACAGACGUUACAGAGACAGCGGGUUUGGAGGGAUGCAUUUGCUACAUGCAGACACAUUGAGGCUACCAUGACAGAGGACGGGAUGUUGGGAUCGGUACCAGAAGCUUGGCAAACUGUCCCGGGUGGAUGAAGCGGAUGUACAUGGAGCCUGCGACCUUAACCUGUCCCUUGAAGGUGAUUGUGUUGUUGGAGUGACACUGGUAAAUGCUGCAGUUGGCGAGGAGGACCAGAAGCUGCCGAUAGGGGUGAGUGAACUCUCCAACAGGCCUGAUCUGUCUGAGCAGCAACAGGAGGAGCUGCGCGCCCUGCUGCUGAAAUGGCAGAAGGUGUUUGCACAGCACAAUGAGGACUUCGGACGUACAGACCUGGUACAACAUCGCAUCCAUACUGGUGAUGCACCACCUAUCCGAGAACGACAUCGACCUCUUCCCCCUGCCAUGUAUAAAGAGAUGAAAUCCCUACUCUCAGGUAUGCUGGAGCAAGGUGUCAUUAAAGAGAGCUGUAGCCCAUGGGCGGCACCCAUAGUACUGGAUUGAAGAAACCUUGACCAGUCUGACCAGAGCAGAAUGGUUUUCUACUCUUGACUUAGCCAGUGGCUAUUGGCAAGUUGAGAUGGACACCCAAGACCAGGAGAAGACCGCCUUCACCACACCGCUGGGGCUG